AUUGAACGCUGGCGGCGUGCUUAACACAUGCAAGUCGUGCGGUAACAGGCGUAGCAAUACGUGCUGACGAGCGGCGAACGGGUGCGUAAUACAUGGGAAUCUGCCCUUUAGUGGGGAAUAACCCGGCGAAAGCCGGGCUAAUGCCGCAUAAGAUCUUCGGAUGAAAGCGGGGGAUCGUAAGACCUCGCGCUGAUGGAUGAGCCCAUGUCGGAUUAGCUAGUGGUGAGGUAACGGCUCACCAAGGCGACGAUCCGUAGCUGGUCUGAGAGGACGGCCAGCCACACUGGGACUGAGACACGGCCCAGACUCCUACGGGAGGCAGCAGUGGGAAUAUUGGACAAUGGGGGAAACCCUGAUCCAGCGACGCCGCGUGUGUGAAGAAGGCCUGGCGGGUUGUAAA
rnacentral:rRNA from 1 species